rnacentral:rRNA from 2 species
AAUCAAGUGCCUUAAGGGUGUUCGGUG